CGGAAGCAAUGAAGCCAGCGUUGGCUUCCUGCCGAUCCGGUGUUCCUCGUAUGUCCCCGGGAAGAUAUCCUCGGUGGGUCGUCAAGCGGCAUGUGACCGGCUCCUUGUGGGUCGAUUCGAGUUCCUCUCUCCCCAGUGCCGGCAUAAAAAGAGUUGCAGUUUAGUUGGUUCGCUGGCUUUGCUAAGUAGCUCACUUGUUGCCAUCAGAAUUUUCCUGUAUUUGAAAACCCUGUCAAUGUCAGCAAGGAGGUUAGCUGAUGAUUGCUUUUUAAUCGAAGGAUGUCCAAGGUGGAGUUUGGUUAGGGGGACUUGUUUGAUGCAGACAGCUUGAUUCCACAAUGAUGCCAGAUCACAGUGAGGAAUGAUUCCAUCGAGGAAUAGAUGCAACUCUGUCCAUGUGAACCAAAUAGAGCUGCAUUCGGUCCGUGGAUUGGAAAAUCACUGAUCCUCUUCGAAUUGGCUUCUCAAAUAAAGUAUUUGCAGUGGCUUUCACAGGAAAGGAAUAUCCUUUUCCUGCACGAAUGGGUUGGUGUGGGCCAAUCAAACUCCAGGAUUUUUGUCUUUCAACACACACUAGUUCGUAUGAGUACCUUGAGCAGGAUGAGGCGUUUGGUCAUGUGUUUCACAGAGGAACUCUGAAUGAACGAUCCAAAAUCGGCUUGCUCAAAAUAAUGUUUCACCCGGGUGUAGGACAGGGUUCAUGAUGUUUAACAUGCCCCGCUUAAUCCGUAGUCAUGGAAAUUCAUUCCGGAAGCUCACCGAAAAUUUCAAGUGUCGGGUCGACAUCAUCAAGUAUUGGAUCCUUGCAAACCUGUCAUGAGGAAUGAUUGUACUUGAGGACCUCACAGUGGUAACUUGGUGAAAGGUCAUGAUGAUGGAUGGAGUCGGUGUCCUUGUGAAAGAUAUUUGAUAAUGCUGUCACAUCCUGCCUUGGAAUUCGAUGCUUAUCAGAUGUACGUGAAGAUGGAGAAUACAUCACCAGAGGUCCAGACUAUGUAGAAUCAAAAAGCAAGCACUGGAAGAAGAAACGAAUGGCAGCUGGACUUCGCUGGUGAAGAAGAGGACGAUUCACGUGGCGAAGGCUGACAUAGACACAUAUGCACUCACCGUAGACCUUGCCUCUCGGGGUACCACGGUGCAAGGGCACCAAAAAAAAAAAAAAAAAAAUCCAAGGUAAAAGCUUAUGUGCAGAAAUAAUAAAGUGGAUCGCCAGGCACCAUCACAGAACCUUUGCAGUGCAUUCCAACAUAACCAUGCAUGGAAUCAGGCAGAUGGAGCCUGCAGCCUCCUCUUGCAAAUCAUUCACUAAUACCUACUUACAUACAGACAGCAACAUCCAGACAACCAUUUAUCUUUUCCCUACACUCACUCGUUUGUUUACUGGCCCCGGUGAUCCGGAGUCGAAUUAUUCAACAGUCCCAAGAGAUACUCCUUUGAUUCCUCCAUUUCUUUAUCUUUAGCAUUAUUGUGGCUCA